rnacentral:rRNA from 1 species
CCUGCCAGACCUGACUGCUAUCGGAUUGAUACUAAGCCAUGCGAGUCAUUGUAGCAAUACAAGGCAUACGGCUCAGUAACGCGUAGUCAACCUAACCUAUGGACGGGAAUAACCUCGGGAAACUGAGAAUAAUGCCCGAUAGAACAUUAUACCUGGAAUGGUUUAUGUUCCAAAUGAUUUAUCGCCGUAGGAUGGGACUGCGGCCUAUCAGUUUGUUGGUGAGGUAAUGGCCCACCAAGACUAUUACAGGUACGGGCUCUGAGAGGAGUAGCCCGGAGAUGGGUACUGAGACACGGACCCAGGCCCUAUGGGGCGCAGCAGGCGAGAAAACUUUGCAAUGUGCGAAAGCACGACAAGGUUAAUCCGAGUGAUUUCUGCUAAAGAAAUCUUUUGUUAGUCCUAGAAACACUAACGAAUAAGGGGUGGGCAAGUUCUGGUGUCAGCCGCCGCGGUAAAACCAGCACCUCAAGUGGUCAGGAUGAUUAUUGGGCCUAAAGCAUCCGUAGCCGGCUCUGUAAGUUUUCGGUUAAAUCUGUACGCUCAACGUACAGGCCGCCGGGAAUACUGCAAAGCUAGGGAGUGGGAGAAGUAGACGGUACUCGGUAGGAAGUGGUAAAAUGCUUUGAUCUAUCGAUGACCACCUGUGGCGAAGGCGGUCUACUAGAACACGUCCGACGGUGAGGGAUGAAAGCUGGGGGAGCAAACCGGAUUAGAUACCCGGGUAGUCCCAGCUGUAAACUAUGCAAACUCAGUGAUGCAUUGGCUUGUGGCCAAUGCAGUGCUGCAGGGAAGCCGUUAAGUUUGCCGCCUGGGAAGUACGUACGCAAGUAUGAAACUUAAAGGAAUUGGCGGGGGAGCACCACAAGGGGUGAAGCCUGCGGUUCAAUUGGAUUCAACGCCGGG